rnacentral:rRNA from 1 species
GACGAACGCUGGCGGCGUGCCUAAUACAUGCAAGUCGAGCGGACGAAUCGAAAGCUUGCUUUUGAUUCGUUAGCGGCGGACGGGUGAGUAACACGUGGGCAACCUGCCCUGUAGACGGGGAUAACACCGAGAAAUCGGUGCUAAUACCGGAUAACACGAAAUGUCGCAUGACGUUUCGUUGAAAGACGGCGCAAGCUGUCGCUACAGGAUGGGCCCGCGGCGCAUUAGCUAGUUGGUGAGGUAACGGCUCACCAAGGCGACGAUGCGUAGCCGACCUGAGAGGGUGAUCGGCCACACUGGGACUGAGACACGGCCCAGACUCCUACGGGAGGCAGCAGUAAGGAAUCUUCCGCAAUGGACGAAAGUCUGACGGAGCAACGCCGCGUGGGCGAAGAAGGCCUUCGGGUCGUAAAGCUCUGUUGUUGGGGAAGAACAAGUAACGCAGUAACUGGCGUUACCGUGACGGUACCUAACGAGAAAGCCACGGCUAACUACGUG